rnacentral:rRNA from 1 species
GACGAACGCUGGCGGCGUGCUUAACACAUGCAAGUCGAACGAUGAUGCCAGCUUGCUGGUGGAUUAGUGGCGAACGGGUGAGUAACACGUGAGCAACCUGCCCCUGACUUCGGGAUAACCGCCGGCAACCGUGGCGAAUACCGGAUAUGACGCGCUAUCGCAUGCUGGUGGGGGGUAAGAUUUAUCGGGUGGGGAUGGGCGCGCGGCCCAUCAGCCUGUUGGUGGGGUGAUGGCCGACCAAGGCGACGACGGGCAGCCGGCCGGAGAGGGUGGGCGGCCACACUGGGACUGAGACACGGCCGAGACUACUACGGGAGGCAGCAGUGGGGAAUAUUGCACAAUGGGCGCAAGCCUGAUGCAGCGACGCCGCGUGAGGGAUGACGGCCGUCGGGUUGUAAACCUCUUUCUGUAGGGAAGAAGGCCUGCGGGUUGACGGUACCUGCAGAAGAAGCGCCGGCUAACUACGU